rnacentral:lncRNA from 12 species
UUGAUUGAUUGAUUGAUUGACUGUUUGACUGAUUGAUUGAUUGAUUUCACAUGCAAGAGUAAUAUUUAGCUGAUCAUGUGAAAUAAAACCGCUUUGUUGGGUUAGCUACUUAUAUUACACUUUAUACUUUAAAAAAAGAGUAGGCCUAGGCUACUUAUUAUGGAAAUAAUAUAAAAGAUAGCUACUUAAGUGCAACUGAAUGUACUUUAAUGUAAUUUCUACUGAAACUUUUAUGUCAUGUAUUUAAAUAUAUUUGUUAUUACGUAUUUAUAACAAUUAGUUUGUAGUUUAGGGCAUUUAAAAAAUAAUAUUCCAAAGUAGGCUACACUUUUUAACUUUUUUGCAGUAAAAAAGUAUUUUAUAGUAAAGUAUAAUGUAUUUUUCUUUUCUAGUAAUCCAUGACACCCAGAUAUAUGACACAAUAUCAAAGAAAAGAUCUGUUUCUACUUCAAUUUCAUUGUGACUUUAAACACAUUUUUCAAAAUUAAUUUCUUUAGUAUAAAACUUUAACAGUGAAUAAAAUAAAUAAUACUAAGUGCACCUUUAAUCACAAAAACACAAGACCCCCUAUAGUUACCCAAGUGUGAACAUGUUAAAGAUAUAAAUCUCAGCCAAUUCUUUGAAAGGAAACUCAAUACAGCAUUUGCCUCCUUGAAGCUUGCCUAAAAGUCUAAUCUCUCUCUUCGCAAAUGUUCAGGAGCAGGAAAUUAACUUAAUGAUUUCAUGCCAGUCUAACGCACAGAGGGCUGUACGCCUGGAGCAGCUACUCCCAGUGAGAGAGAGGAAGAUAAACCACACAGACUGCAUGGACCAAUUACAGAGACGACGAAUUGAGGAGAUCCUAGAGGAUGAGAAGGGCCUGUCCACCAGUUAUAGAUGACUGAAGAUGAAAAGGAAUAUAUUUUCUGAAUGAUCUGAGACUGAAAAUGCAGAGUAUUGUGGCCUUGCAUGCCAAAUCUUUAUGCGUAUGUUUGUAUUCUAUAUAUAUUUCUUAGUCAAAAUUUCAAGAUAUAUUACCUUGCCACAGACCAGUGAAGCAAUUAUGUUAAGGAAUUCUGGCUGAUUAUGAUUUAAAUAAUUAUCAUUAUUACAGAGUCUGGUAACCGAUAGAUGGGCAAUAUUACAAUUCUAUGCUAUUUUGUAAAUAAAUAAAGAAUAAAACAUUGAAUGC